GAGGGUAUAGCUCAGUGGUAGAGUAUAUGCUCAGCAUGCACGAGGUCCUGGGUUCAAUCCCCAGUAUCUCCA
rfam:Camelus ferus unplaced genomic scaffold scaffold356, whole genome shotgun sequence.